rnacentral:rRNA from 1 species
CGGAGGAUCCAAGCGUUAUCCGGAAUCAUUGGGUUUAAAGGGUCCGUAGGCGGGUUUAUAAGUCAGUGGUGAAAGCCCAUCGCUCAACGAUGGAACGGCCAUUGAUACUGUAGAUCUUGAAUUAUUAGGAAGUAACUAGAAUAUGUAGUGUAGCGGUGAAAUGCUUAGAGAUUACAUGGAAUACCAAUUGCGAAGGCAGGUUACUACUAAUGGAUUGACGCUGAUGGACGAAAGCGUGGGUAGCGAACAGGAUUAGAUACCCUGGUAGUCCACGCCGUAAACGAUGGAUACUAGCUGUUCGGAGCAAUCUGAGUGGCUAAGCGAAAGUGAUAAGUAUCCCACCUGGGGAGUGCGUUCGCAAGAAUG